rnacentral:rRNA from 1 species
UACGGGGGGGCAAGCGUUGUUCGGAAUUACUGGGCGUAAAGGGCUCGUAGGUGGCCAACUAAGUCAUACGUGAAAUCCCUCGGCUUAACCGGGGAACUGCGUCUGAUACUGGAUGGCUUGAGGUUGGGAGAGGGAUGCGGAAUUCCAGGUGUAGCGGUGAAAUGCGUAGAUAUCUGGAGGAACACCGGUGGCGAAGGCGGCAUCCUGGACCAAUUCUGACACUGAGGAGCGAAAGCCAGGGGAGCAAACGGG